rnacentral:ncRNA from 2 species
AAGGGAAUCCGGUGAGAAUCCGGAGCGGUCCCGCCACUGUGAGCGGCGAGGCCGGUCCCGCCUUUUGAGGGGGCUCCUCCCGGGAGGGGUCCCGGUCACUGGGCCACCGCCAGAGCGGGGCCCGGGAAGGCCGCGGAGCCGCGCCGCCCGAGCCGCGAGCCAGGAGACCU